CGGCGAGUGAAGCAGCAAUAGCUCAAAUUUGAAAUCUGGCGUCUUCGACGUCCGAGUUGUAAUUUGUAGAGGAUGCUUCUGAGUGGCCACCGACCUAAGUUCCUUGGAACAGGACGUCAUAGAGGGUGAGAAUCCCGUAUGCGGUCGGAAAGGCGCUCUAUACGUAGCUCCUUCGACGAGUCGAGUUGUUUGGGAAUGCAGCUCUAAAUGGGAGGUAAAUUUCUUCUAAAGCUAAAUAUUGGCCAGAGACCGAUAGCGCACAAGUAGAGUGAUCGAAAGAUGAAAAGCACUUUGGAAAGAGAGUUAAAAAGCACGUGAAAUUGUUAAAAGGGAAGGGAUUGCAACCAGACUUGCUCGCGGUGUUCCGCCGGUCUUCUGACCGGUCUACUCGCCGCGUUGCAGGCCAGCAUCGUCUGGUGCCGCUGGAUAAGACUUGAGGAAUGUAGCUCCCUCGGGAGUGUUAUAGCCUCUUGUGAUGCAGCGAGCGCCGGGCGAGGUCCGCGC
rnacentral:rRNA from 1 species